rnacentral:lncRNA from 1 species
AAUUACACUAAUAGAAGAGAAAAGCUGAGAUAUGGAUAUGGAGAAGAGAGAGAGAAAGCAUUCAGAAUCUCUUAUGUGCAUAUGGCCCUGAACACCAUAGGGAUUAAGAGGGAUUAGAAAUAAACCUGAAGCCUUCCCUCAAGAUAAUUCAUCACCUGUUCUCAUGGAAUUAACCAAAAAUUCCACAGACGGGUAUGAAGUCAAUCCAGGUCAUCCAAUUGCACAACAUGAACUCAAAACACUUAUAUCACCAACGGCAGGCAACACAUCCCUUAUGAAUUGAUCAAUCCUUUGUAUCAAAUAGAUUGACUCAGUUGUAGCAUUUAUAGUUUCUCUUAAAUAGUUUAUCUGCCUGAAGACAAGUAUCCCCCAAGCUUGAUAUCUAUAGACAUCACCUUUUGCAGCCAUGCAUCUCAAGCCUUACUCUGUCUCUCCUAGCACAGCGUAUCUGUAUCCCUAUUUUACCUGUUGAGGACAGCAUAUUUCUUCAUGCAGGUGCUCAAUGAUGCUUGUUCUCACACAACACUCGUCGUUGCAGAGAAUGUAGCCCAUCUGGCCAUCCACAUUCCUUCUCCCGAACUUUUUCCUGUUCCUAGGCACCUUAUUCCUACAAUCCUUAACACUCAUUAUUACUGAAUCCAAGAAAUUGGCUUAAUUCCUAAGCCAGGAUGAGGAAGUAUCAGUAAAAGUCUACAGGGUCACACGCUAAGAAUAAGGGAAAGAUCGUAGUUGUCAAGUGCUGCAUGUGAAGGGGCUUCUGAAAUAUUACAAAGAGUUUGAUGAAGUCUCCAAACCUAGGAAUAAUCCAAAAUAUUCUUGGUGUCCAGUCAAAUGUGAAUCAACUAUACAUAAUGUGAUGCUCUUCAUACAGAAAUGUGUACAACUUACCAAGAAAGACUGGAAUAAUGGCAAGGACCAGAAGGUAGGGGUAGGCAUUCCACAACUGUCUGAAGCCCAAACCUUAACCCCCAAACUCUAUGGGGAAUGCUCAACCCUGGUAUCACUUGUGUUCCACAAACAGUGAGAGAGUCGGCAAAAGCCAGGCUGAAGGUACUCAGAAUUUUAACUAAUUUGACGAUAGCAUUCGCUGGUGCCCUGAGUCAGGGAUGAAUUGAGAUAGGAAAGUGAUGGGCCAUCAACUUAGAGACAGCUGUUUCCUAGCCUAGGAAGGCUUGAUACACUAAAGCCAGACUCAGGCUGAAAUCAAUUAUAGAUACUGUUAUGAAAGAAGCACUCAGAGAGUUUCAAGGCCAGAAGGCAAAAAAGAAAAAAAAAAAAGGUUAAAGAUGAGAGCUGGUACUAAGGACGAGUGACAGGAUUGAGAUGUUUCUCUAAAAGAGGAAAGUGGCAGAUAUUAAGGAGCCAGAGAACUUCAAGCACCAAAGGAAAAGAGUCGUUAAUUAAAAAAAUAAUAAUAAUAAGGGAGCAGGAGUCCUGAGAAAAAGAGCAAGUGGCAUCUGAGAAAAUUGACAGGACUCAAUUUAAGAGACAGAAGGUUUCUCAAUUGCUCAUGGAGCGGUAGGGAUGGGACCAAACAGGCAGAAAUGGCACAGCACAGAGAAGGGGCUGCAGGUAGAAAACGUUGAGAAGAAUUCCAUUCCUGUAGGACAGAUGCGAUGUAUAAAUAACCCACGUCAGUGGGCACUGCUACCCCUGGUCCAGGGUUAGAGAAAAAUACUUCUCUCAGGACUCCUUGCAGCGGUAUGUCUUUACCUCUAUAUGCAGACGUCGGUAUGAAUGAUCCACUCUGAGAUGCUCAGAGAUCCGUCCAUUAUUUGUAUGGGCAUGCAUCCAUUCAUCCAUAAACAUACGUGGAAGGCACAGAGAAAUUUCAAAUGCAGUACAUCUCGAUAAGAAUAAAGAACAUUUGUGAGAUGUUGCCUGGGGCUGGGUGUUAGGAAAGGUUUCAGACAAGCAACUUGCCAAACAGGGGACUUGACAGAUGUGCAGAUGCAGGAGAAACAGCAAAUGUGACGCCCAGACAGGGAAAUAGAACGAUUGAGUAAGAUAUCUCUGCAAAAGAACAUUCUUGGUAGCAUAUUUCUGGAAAGUGAUACUGCAACAGUGGGAAGUAAACAGAGUAGGUAGUCAGACAAACAUGAAAUUGAAUUCUUGUCUGCUACCUACUAGCUUGUCAACCUCCGCCUCCUUACAGGAAACGGUUAAGUCUGUUGCUUUAUCAAUAAAUGAAAAUGCUACCAUUUCCUCUCUGGGGUUUGUGAGGAUUAAAUGAGAUCAUGUAUAUAGAAACUUGCACACUACCGGGCAUGUUCCCAUCCUGCUCCCAGAAUCUAUAGCUUCGUGACAGCAAGGCGAUGAGUAGAUAUUAAGUCUCACAGCCCUCCUGGUGCUUCUUUCCAAAGGGUCAGAAAUAGGACGUUAUAGCUGGCAAUGCUCAGGGCUGUGCCAGGAACAGGGAUGUAGGUGAACUGAUUGAAAUAUAGAGGAAGGACUGGUUGGGUAAGAGGUAGAUCCCCGUAAUUGUACCUUUCAGCAGGGAGUAGAGGUGCCUGAGCAUUGGCAGGAAUGAGAACUCAAGAUGGAGAGAGAGGAGCAGUGACUCUGUGUAUCGCAUGUGGGAGCAGUGGUUAGAUUAGAGAACUUGGUGGUAUUUGUAAAACAAAGGCGUUUAAUAUGGAGAGUAGACCUCAAGACACAAAAUUUUGGCUUUGGCAGUGUGUUUUGGAUUCCACUGACCCUAUCUAGUGCAAAAGGGUACUGAGUUAAUGGUACUGAAUUAAUGGUAGCUUGGUACUGAGUUAAUGGCAGAAAUAAAACUUAGCUAUGAUUUACAUCAUUACAACCUGAGCAUAUUUCCAAAAGGCGGGCACAGGCUGGCUCCACACCACUACUGAAAGCUUUUACCAAAGGGGCAGUGACACUUAAUACUUGUUAAGGUAGCUUCUGUGGACUGGGGUCCUUGUACUGGAUUGUCCAGUACAAAGAAUUUACAGACAUGUGCUCUGAAGGGCAUCAGACCAGGUAGCAUCCUCCAAAGUUGCAGCACUGGUGUCAGGCUCCUCCUCGGUGCUGUAAGGCAUCAGGGGCUGGCUGAUUGGGAUGUAAUCUCUGCACUAAAAAUCGAGGUGAUGUGAGAGACAGGGGAUCUAUUGAGAUGCCCUUCAGAUAUUGCUCCCAUUAGAG